GGAUUUAAGCGGCUCAGUCAGGACGUUCACACCCAGGUUUUCCAAACUGAUGGCGCGGGUUCGAUUCCCGUCAUCCCCUCCA
rnacentral:tRNA from 1 species